rnacentral:rRNA from 1 species
CCGCCAGAGCAUUACGAGCAACAGCUUAAAACUCAAAGGACUUGGCGGUGCCCACAUCCCUCCAGAGGAGCCUGUUCUAUAAUCGAUAACCCACGCUGAACCUCACCACCAUUUGACAACCCAGCCUAUAUACCACCGUCACCAGCCUGCCUUAUGAAAGAACUAAAGCAAGCAAAAACGAAGAUACCAAACACGCCAGGUCAAGGUGUAGCAUAUAUGGUGGGAAGAAAUGGGCUACAUUUUCUUUCAAAGAAUAUACGAAUGAUAAACUGAAACCACAUCUGAAGGCGGAUUUGAUAGUAAAAAUGGAUAAUAAUGCCAUUUCUAAACCAGGCCCUGGGGCGCGC